UAACCUGCCCAAGAGAUCGGGAUAACACCUGGAAACAGAUGCUAAUACCGGAUAANAACAGAUGAUGCCUAUCAACUGUUUAAAAGAUGGUUCUGCUAUCACUCUUGGAUGGACCUGCGGUGCAUUAGCUAGUUGGUAGGGUAACGGCCUACCAAGGCGAUGAUGCAUAGCCGAGUUGAGAGACUGAUCGGCCACAUUGGGACUGAGACACGGCCCAAACUCCUACGGGAGGCAGCAGGC
rnacentral:rRNA from 1 species